rnacentral:rRNA from 1 species
AGAGUUUGAUUCUGGCUCAGGAUGAACGCUGGCGGCGUGCCUAAUACAUGCAAGUCGAGCGAGAACUUAAUGAUUGAAGAUUCGUCUGAUUGAUUAAGGGAAAGCGGCGGACGGGUGAGUAACGCGUAGGCAACCUGCCCUUAGCAGAGGGAUAGCCAUUGGGAACGAUGAUUAAAACCUCAUAAUGCUGAAGAGUCACAUGUCACUUCAGCCAAAGAUUUAUCGGCUAGGGAUGGGCCUGCGUCUGAUUAACUAGUUGGUGGGGUAACGGCUCACCAAGGUGACGAUCAGUAGCCGACCUGAGAGGGUGAUCGGCCACAUUGGAACUGAGACACGGUCCAAACUUCUACGGAAGGCAGCAGUAAGGAAUCUUGCACAAUGGGGGGAAAAACCCCCUGAUGCAGCAACGCCGCGUGAACGAUGAAGGCCUUAGGGUUGUAAAGUUCUGAUCUGGGGGAAGAAGAAAGUGACGGUACCCCAGGAGAAAGCCCCGGCUAAAUACGUGCCAGCCGCCGC